CGAAAAACUCAGUACGCAUCACAGAUUUGUUAAUGUUCUGUAACACAUUUACAUUUUACAUUUAUUAAUUUAGCAGACUCCAAAGCGAUGUACAUCUGGAAAAAAAAUACAAUCUGUGCAUAAGAGAGAGAGAGAGAGAGAGAGAGAGAGAGAGAGAGAGAUGGCUGCAGACAUGUGACCUUAUUUAAACCUAGCUGAAACACACUGUGUUUCACCAGUGAAGCCCUACAACUACUCGCGACUCCCCCGUGGGACAAGUGCGCCAAAGCUCUCUCCCGGAAGCGUGUGACGCAAUUGGAAUGAAAAGCGCGCGUGGCGGAUGGGUGGCGUUCAGUUCUUUUCCUGCGAUACUGGUGGAUACUUCGGGAAAGUACAUAUAGUCAUUUCUAGAGCUUCCAGCUGUUGACCAACAAUGUCUGGUAAUCUACCUUUAGAGACAAACAGUAAGUACUUUCUGUGCUUUUUAUGUGUGAAUUAUUUAUUUAUUCCCCCCCCCCCCCCCCCCCCCCCUUCCAUCGCUGGUUAUGGUUCUUGUUGACCUGUCUCUCUAUGUGUGGCUCCCACAUUCCUUUUCUGUUGGUAGCAGGCCAACAAUGGAAGUUCAGCCAAAAAUUACUUAAAAUUGUUCUCUCUUACUUUAGACUUUAGUGGUGGUCACACUCUGGUGUAAAAGCAUGGUAGAAGUGGAUGCUGGCCCAAUCUUAAUGGUUCUUUUCAGAACACACACAUUGCCAUGCUCCAGAGAGGAACUGCACGGUGACUGACACAGAGUAUGUGCUUCACUACCAGGUUUCUGGUUGAGUGCAGGGCUCCAGUGAAUGCCAGCUGUACCGGCUACCUUACUGACAGGCCAGCACUAUGUGGGCAUGCACUCUUCACCAACUCAUGGUGCUCUCUCCCUAUCCCUUUGGCACAACAGCACAUCCUGCUGCAACAUCUGAGGGGUCCAUUAGUGUUACUAAUGGUUCUGUGGUCACUGGAUCCCGGUUGACUAGCUGUAUAGUUGGAGGCUCCGUCACCAACCGUGUCAGAGCUCUGUUAUCUGCUAGUGGAAAUCAGACUUCCCUGAACUCUACCACCAGCAGUCCUUCUAGAAGUGUCAUUACUGGAUCCAGUUUGAUGGACUGUGAAGUUGGGGGCUCUGUCACAAACAGUGUCAUGGGUAGAUUUUUGAGUGUUAUUCAAUACUUAAACACACUGUUCAUUCUGAAAGUAUUUAUUCCCUUCAAAUGUUCACAUUCGUAAGUCUGGAAGUGUUGUUCCUCUUCACUGAACUCAAAUUUAAUACUGUUAUUGGGCGUUUUUAGAAUUACAGCAGCAUUUUUCAGUAAAUUAAAUGUACACAUUUACUUUUUGCUAAAUUAUCACCCUGACAGUUCAGGAGUUCAUUGUUGUACAACAGACAUCAGUCAUAGCUUGGAAUAUUUGUGGGUUUAACUUCAUGAGCUUUACACAUUACCUUUAGGAGUUUUUAGACAGUUGUCUUUACAGUUUGCUGUACCAUUAUCAAGUUACAUGGAGAGGAUAAGUAUCCAGUUUUAAUUGGAUUAAUGUGUGAGCUGCUCCAUGAAACUGUUGUCGUUAACAUUUACCGUUAUUAAUUUUGCAGAUGCUUUUCUCCAGAGCGACAGACAUCUCUGGUAUUGAGAUAUAUCAGAUGUCGUGCUGUGGUUAAGGACAUUGAUUUAUAAGCUAAAGGCUGCCAGUUCAAACCAUCACCCGUUACUGUUGUUGUACGCUGGAUCUCGGUACUCAUAGCUACUCAAUAAACAUGGAUCUGUAUGUUGUCUGUUUAAUAAU
rnacentral:lncRNA from 1 species